AUAUCACUUUAAUCUAAUCAAAUCUGUAUACCCGCUGUCUUAGUACAUUAUGGUGUACUUUCUGCUUCUGCCCUAGACCUCUGGUUCUAUUCAUCAACUAAGCUGGUAUUGUUCUUGUAAAUUUGUAGAUACUGAAAAAUCCCAGACUGCUUAAUUGGUUAUGCAACUAGCUGAUACAGGAAAUCAGAUGAUGCUCGUCUCCCAAUUUGAUGCUUUUGUCUUUGAUGAUCAGUGAUAAAAUUUUAGCAGUCGCUGUAAUGAUUGUAAAUUUUUAGCUAAGAGAGGAGAUUGAGAAGCAUUUUUUAUCCUAUAUGCUAUAUGUGGGAGGAACAGAGAGAUGGUGAGAUUGGAUGAUCAAAUUUUAUCCUUUCUUGCGGCCCAAUACCUGUUGAUGCAUUAUUGUUGUAUUUAACAAUGAUGAAGGUGAGGAUGCUGAACAAGAAGAUGAGUUCCGUUUAUUCUAAACUUGGCAAGGGGAAAGUAAUCAAUUCAGCUCUUGAUGGAGCAAUUCUGUUUCCUCCUAUGACCUUUGGAAAAUUGGAGCCAGGAUUCCAGGCUUCUAAUUGUUCAGCUGAUGCUAAGGUCAUCAUAUCAGAUUUGACAUUCUUUUUGGAUAAAAGGCAACAAGCAGCAUGAAGCAAAAUGUUAGCCAAAGGUUAGAUUACAAUGCCUUUGUGGAAAUUGAGACCUGUUCUUUAUUUAUUUUGUAUAUGUGAUUUUAUUGACUUGGAUUUCCAAAUUUCUGUUUAUUAUGAGUUAUAGGGAGAAUCUUUUUGUCCCUAAAAUAUUAAACACAGGAUGUGAUUCUACAAAAUGACUUGUGAUCAUGAUAGCAUAGACUAGGAUGCUAUCGGUAUUUAGUCUGAAAAAUCUGAAAUUCCUUUGGAUUCUAAAAUCCCUUAAUCCAAGGCAAAUUUAUAAAUCAGUUAUUAAUUCACGUUUGAAGGACAAGGGAACAAAAGGAAAGGCAGCAGGAGGGGGGGCCUGGGAAGUGUAAUUCACGUUUCCUGUGUUUUGAACUCUUGUAAGCUUCAUAUGCAUAGUCAUAUUUUCCGUGGCUGGUUCUAUUUCCCUGUUUUUCUUCCCAGCUUCUUCCAUGGAAUGCCUAAAGGUUCAUGCCUAUACCACAGUGAAUCAAGAGUCAAACCCACUAGCAAAAUUCCCUCCCAAAACCAGAUGAAAUAGCUUCAAGAUGUUUGGCUUUUCCCAUCGAAGUAAUUGAUCAUCUUCAUCUUAUCCGAUCUCUUGGUUGGUCUGUUCUGGUUCUUUCUUGAAUGUGGAAUCCUUUUAGAUUGUACCCAAGUGAAAGUUUGCCCUUACCUUACAUUAUAACAAGUCUUCGUCUUGGUCCUACGAGGUACUUGAAGUUCUCUUCCUUUUUCUAUAAUGCGAACAAAUUUAACAAAAGAUUUGUCAUGAAAUAGUGAACGUAGGGUGUAUGAAGCAAAGCAAGGUUAGAAUGAUAUGAAUCCUUUUGCGAGCUACAAAUUUUGAGAGCUUACUUUUUCCACAGAUAUUUGUACUAAAAUUUUCUCUGUCAUCUCAAAGUGAAUUAUAAAAUCAUCUCUUAAGAACCUUAAAGAGGUAAAACUUCUGAAGCUGAUAAAUAUAGGCAAAUAGUUGAGGGAAGAAAAGACAUCUCCCCAUCAGCUUCUCUAGAUUCAAGUUAUGCAUCCAAUAAUGACGAUGGGACAGAGAAGCAAAGAAAUCAAUUCAUCUGAUAAACAAAAAAUCCUAAAAUAGCUGUUAAAUUAAUCAGGAAUCAAGUAGUUUCAUGAUUAUGAGUACCAUGUAGUAGUCCAGUUAAACAUACUUAACCGUGAAGGAGAGAAAAAGAAAAGGAAAAAGGAUUAUUGGUGCCUUCGCAACCGAAACUAGAAACAACUAAUGUUCACUACCUCAAGCUUAACCAUCUACAUUAAAAACAUCAGAUCCUUCAAGCAGAAUUUUAAUCUCAAUCGGGAAUGCGGGUGCCUUUGCAACCAGAACUAGACAACAACAUCAAUGUUCUGUCACACGUUAAGUAGUAAUAGCAAAUUAAUGAUGAUAAUUAGCAUGUACUAGAAAUAUUGUUGUUUUAGCUAGUGCUGCUGCUGCUGUUGCUGUUGCUGUUGCUGUUGUGAACUGCUUGGGUUCUUAAAAGGCUGCAAUUUAGCAACAAAAAUGGGAAGCCUCUAAGUAAAUGGAUCUCUAGGUUACAACCUUCCCCCAGACUUAACAAAUACACUAGAAAGUUCAAUUUUCCUAUUUCUAGCUUCUAUUCACUAGCUUUUGAAAGAAUGUGCUACAAUUGGGAUAAGUAUCUCAAUAGUAUAGGCUGUCUAAAGAGAUUAAAGAAGCAAUAGGUAUGUUGAUCACCCGUCAAUUUCCAAAUUUCGGAGCCAUUACUGCUGACUAAAUUCCCAUGCCCUUGCUUUCAGCGGUAUACUGUUUUACAUUUUUUUUGGGGGUGGGGAGGGGGGUGGUGUUUGUAGGACAAAUUUUUGCGUCUUGAUAUGCCUUUAUUGCAUUUUCAACAGUUUUUCAUUCACCAGUCAUGAGUGGACAAAAGAGAGCAUUUUCAACAUAAGUAGAUAACGUGCCAACACCAUUCAGCCAAAAGUUUCGUCGUCCUCUCACGUGCCGUGCAUGUGGGUUGGAAGCAUUAUGUUGUUCACGCAUCGCGCGACGGCUUUCGCUCUAUUCUCAUCUUCUCCUCUGGCAGUAUCCCAUGUGCCUUCUGCUGCGUUGUCUGCCGUAUUGCGAGACUUGUUUCUGUGUCUGGCAGUAUCCCAUGCCUCUCCCAUGCCUCUUCUUCCCACUACCUUCUCUCUCUCCUUCUUUUGGACACUGUUGCUCUGUUGCUUAUCCGGCUGUUCUGAGCCUUGGUACAAGAGCCUGUUGAGAUAUCUGGUGCUCUUCUUACCACGCAAGGAACAUCGAGCCUCUGCCUCUCGCGUUCUCUGGGUUGCAGUGGUCCAAAUCAUCUGCCAUCCGUUUGGUUCUCCUCCUCCUCCUCCGUUGAGCAUCGAGCCUCUGUCUCUCGCGUUCUAUGGGUUGCAGUGGUCCAAAUCAUCUUCCAUCCGUUUGGUUCUCCUCCUCCUCCUCCAUUGACCUCUUUUCCUCCCCUUCCGAAGACCUUCUGUUUUGCUCUCGGGAGAGGGAUUUUUGGCUGUGCACGUCGCUUAGAAUGGGGAAGUGAAACUAAUACUUUUAAAUGGCCGGCUCAUAGCUACUUGAUUCUAAACUUUCGCAACUAGGACAAUGAAAAUAAAACUAGAGGUAGCAACCGGCAAUACAGAAUACAUGAAGGUAUUAUUGUUUACUUUUUUGGAUUAUGAAUUUUUUCAUAUGCUCUUCUCUGAAGGUUUGAGUUUUGCUUGCAUGUUUCUUAUGUAUGAUUGAACGACAUUCUGUAGAUGGAAAGGGUUACCAAUAGAAUGUUUAAUUUUUGGACUGAAAUUUUUUUAUGAAUUCUUCUCUGAAGGUGCGAGUUUUGCUUGGCACAUGCAGCAUGAGUGAACCACAUUUUUUAGAUGGCCUGGGCUACCGAUUGAACCUUUUAAUUAUAACAACCUUAAACAAGAAGAAAAUUAUAGUCCAAAGUUUUUAAGUUUUAUAAUCUGUCGUGCCACAUUUUAGUUCAAUCACAGUACUGGUUCUGAGUACCUUAAUCUUGUACAUAAGUUUAUUUUUAUUGCUUACCAGUGAGAAAGGCGCUUUUAGAUGGUUUUUCUGUCAUUGGUGGAGAUUAUGUUAUUGAUCAAAGGCGAUUCCCCCCGUGUUGCUUUUGUUGGCUCCUGUAUUUUUUGUAUUGCUGACACCUUGUUGUUUAUGUUUGUUGCUAUAGUAAGAAGCCUGUUCUGCUGACAUUGUUCCGUGAUUUUUGAGAUUGAAGUGGGAUGGACCAAAGUAGAUGCUAUGGGAUCUGUUGAGUCCAAUCCAAUUAUUAUUGGUAUUAGACUCAGAGUGGAGCCCUGAUAAUUGUGAGAUCUGUUUCUAUGUAUAUUCAUGGUUCCUUAGUUAAUUUGUGUUAGGCUGUUGUGUUACUGGUCACUGUACUAUCAUUUUUCCUUGGUACUUUUCCCUUCUGGAUUUUAAAUCACGGAUUGUUUGCUAUGUCACAGCAAGCUAGAAUGUUAUAUUGAUUUUUUGAAAGGUGACAUUUUUAUUAAGCAUUUUUGAUGGAAGGAUAACCUCCUUCCUUUCUUCAA